CAUGGCUCAGAUUGAACGCUGGCGGCAGGCCUAACACAUGCAAGUCGAGCGGUAGAGAGGUGCUUGCAUCUCUUGAGAGCGGCGGACGGGUGAGUAAUGCCUAGGAAUCUGCCUAGUGGUGGGGGAUAACGUUCGGAAACGGACGCUAAUACCGCAUACGUCCUACGGGAGAAAGCGGGGGAUCUUCGGACCUCGCGCCAUUAGAUGAGCCUAGGUCGGAUUAGCUAGUUGGUGAGGUAAUGGCUCACCAAGGCGACGAUCCGUAACUGGUCUGAGAGGAUGAUCAGUCACACUGGAACUGAGACACGGUCCAGACUCCUACGGGAGGCAGCAGUGGGGAAUAUUGGACAAUGGGCGAAAGCCUGAUCCAGCCAUGCCGCGUGUGUGAAGAAGGUCUUCGGAUUGUAAAGCACUUUAAGUUGGGAGGAAGGGUAGUAACCUAAUACGUUGCUACUUUGACGUUACCGACAGAAUAAGCACCGGCUAACUUCGUG
rnacentral:rRNA from 1 species